GCUCAACCGCAGAGCGGCACCUGAAACUGGUCAGCUUGAGUGCAGGAGAGGGGAGCGGAAUUCCCGGUGUAGCGGUGGAAUGCGUAGAGAUCGGGAGGAGCACCAGUGGCGAAGGCGGCUCUCUGGCCUGUAACUGACGCUGAGGCGCGAAAGCGUGGGGAGCAAACAGGAUUAGAUACCCUGGUAGUCCACGCCGUAAACGAUGAGUGCUAGGUGUUGGGGGGCUACGCCCCUCAGUGCCGAAGGUAACCCAUUAAGCACUCCGCCUGGGGAGUACGGCCGCAAGGCUGAAACUCAAAGGAAUUGACGGGGGCCCGCACAAGCGGUGGAGUAUGUGGUUUAAUUCGAAGCAACGCGAAAAACCUUACCAGGGCUUGACAUCCCGCUGACCCCUCCAGAGAUGGAGGUUUCCUUCGGGACAGCGGUGACAGGUGGUGCAUGGUUGUCGUCAGCUCGUGUCGUGAGAUGUUGGGUUCAGUCCCGCAACGAGCGCAACCCUUGUCGUUAGUUGCCAGCAUUUCGGAUGGGCACUCUAACGAGACAGCCGGUGAGAGCCGGAGGAAGGUGGGGAUGACGUCAAAUCAUCAUGCCCCUUAUGUCCUGUGCUACACACGUGCUACAAUGGCUGGUACAAAG
rnacentral:rRNA from 1 species